rnacentral:rRNA from 1 species
UACGUAGGGGCUAGCGUUAUCCGGAAUUACUGGGCGUAAAGGGUGCGUAGGUGGUUUCUUAAGUCAGAGGUGAAAGGCUACGGCUCAACCGUAGUAAGCCUUUGAAACUGAGAAACUUGAGUGCAGGAGAGGAGAGUAGAAUUCCUAGUGUAGCGGUGAAAUGCGUAGAUAUUAGGAGGAAUACCAGUUGCGAAGGCGGCUCUCUGGACCGUAACUGACACUGAGGCACGAAAGCGUGGGGAGCAAACAGGAUUAGAUACCCUGGUAGUCCCUGAG